AGAUGAAAAACAAUUAACAAAUUGAAAGUCGAAAAGCAUCUUUUGAGUCAGUCCAGAGUUGAGGUCUUUAAGCCUGUGCCUGAAGAAACUUCUUAACUUGACGUAACGUUGUCAUCGAGCAACUGACUCACAAGUUUGUGAACUCACUGUUGGAACUGUUCACUGUGCUCCUCAACCUAUUCUUUCAGAUUCCAGCAUCUGCAGUAAUUUGCUCCCACUUCCAGCUAUGGGUGCUCAGAUAUAAUUGCAGUGUUCGCUAGCGCAAUGUUGGAGAUGGUUUUGGUCUUGGAUAUUUUCACGGGAGCAGUUUUCCAAAUUGUGUGAAGGCUCAUUUGAAGACGAAGAUGAAACCACAGAAACAUCGUUUGGUGCCUUCAGUAGGGAACGCAGUGAAAUGGAUGUUGAUAAUUAGGGGAUUGUUCUAUUCCUAUUCUUCCCCACCCCUGUGACAGGGGACUCGCUGUUAGCUGCAGAGACUAUCAGAGCAACCAGGGAGAUGGUUUAAAAUAAAAAAAGACGGGAAUUCCCCGAACACGCCCAUAUCCCUACAAACCCUUCCUAUUCAUAUACCCAUCCAGGUGCCUUUUAAAUGCUGUAAUUGUACCAUCCUCCACCACUUCCUCUGGCAGCUCAUUCCAUACACGCAACACCCUCUGUAUGAAAAAGUUGCCCCUUAGGCCCCUUUUAAAUCUUUACCCUCUCACCUUAAACUUGUGCCCUCUAGUUUUGGACUCACCCACCCCAGAGAAAAUAUAUUGUCUAUUUACCCUAUCCAUGCCCCUCAUGAUUUUAUAAACCUCUAUAAGGUCACCCCUCAGCCAACGAUGCUCCAGGGAAAAUAGCCCCAGCCUAUUCAGCCUCUCCAUAUAGCUCAGACCCUCCAACUCUGGCAACAUCCCUUGUAAAUCUUUCCUGAACCCUUUCAAGUUUCACAGCAUCCUUCCUAUAGCAGGGAGACCAGAACUGAACACAGUACUCCAAAAGUGGCCUAACCAAUGUCUUGUACAGCUGCAAUAUACCUCCCAACACCUAUACUCAAUGCACUGACCAAUAAAGGCAAGCAUAUCAAAUGCCUUCUUCACUGUCCUGUCUACCUGUGACUCCACUUUCAAGGAACUAUGAAUCUGCACUCUAAGGUCUCUUUGUUCAGCAACACUCAUCAGGACCUUACCAUUAAGUGUAUAAGUCCUGCCUUGAUUUGCCUUUCCAUAAUGCAGCACCUCAUAUUUAUCUAAAUUAAACUCCAUCUGCCACUCUUCAGCCCAUUGGCCCAUCUGAUCAAGGUCCUGUUGUACUCCGAGGUAACCUCCUUCGCUGUACGCUACACCUCCAAUUUUGGUGUCAUCUGCAAACAUACUAACCAUACCUCCUAUGUUCACAUCUAAAUCAUUUGUACAAAUGACAAAACGCAAUGGACCCAGCACCGAUCCUUAUGGCACACCGCUGGUCACAGGCCUCCAGUCUGAAAAGCAGCCUUCCACCACCACCCUCUAUCUUCUACCUUCAAACCAGUUCUGUAUCCAAAUAGCUACUUCUCCCUCUAUUCCGUGUGAUCUAACCUUGCUAACCAGUCUACCAUGAGGAACCCUGUCAAAUGCCUUACGGAAGUCCAUAUAGAUCACGUCCACCACUCUGCCCUCAUCAAUCCUUUUCGUUACUUGAAAAAACUCAAUCAAGUUAGUGAGACACGAUUUCCCACGCACAAAAUCAUGUUGAUGAUCGCUAUUCAGUCCUUGCCUUUCCAGAUAGAUGUAAAUCCUGUCCUUCAGGAUUCUCCCUCCAACAAAUUGUCCACCAUUGAUGUCAAGCUCACUAGUCUACAGUUCCCUGGUUUUUCCUUACCACCUUUCUUAAAAAUAGUGGCACCAUGUUAGACAGCUUCCAGUCUUUCAGCAUCUUGCCUGUGGCUAUCGAUAAUACAAAUAUCUCAGCAAGGGGCCAAGCAAUCACUUCCCUAGCUUCCCAUAGAGUUCUACAGUACACCUGAUCAAGACCUGGGGAUUUAUCCACCUUUAUGCAUUUAUAGAUGUCCAGCACCAUCUCCUCUGAAAUAUGGACAUUUUUCAGGAGGUUGCCAUUUAUUUCUCCAUGUUCUCUAUCUUCCAUAUCCUUCUCCACAGUAAACACUGAUGCAAACUACUUGUUUAGUAUCUCCCCUAUCUCUUGCAGUUCCACACAUAGGUGGCCUUGCUGAUCUUUAAGGGGCACUAUUCUCUCCCUAGUUACCCUUUUGUCCUUAAUGUAUUUAUAGAAUCCCUUUGAAUUCUCCUUAACCCUAUUUGCCAGAGCUAUCUCAUGUCCCCUUUUUGUCCUCCUGAUUUCCCGCUUAAGCAUAUUCCUACUGCUUUUAUACUCUUCGAGGGAAUCACUUGAUUUCUGCUGUACCUGACAUGUGCUUCCUUCUCCUUGACCAAAACCUCAAUUUCUCUAGUCAUCCUACACCUACCAGCCUUGCUCUCCACCCUAACAGGAACAUGCUGUUUCUUGUUAUCUCAUUUUUGAAGGCCUCCCAUUUUCCAGCAGUCCCUUUACUUGCAAACAUCCGCAUCCCCCCCUCCCCCACCUCAAUCAACUUUUGAAAGUUCUUGCCUAAUACCAUCAAAAUUAGCCUUCCGGUCCAUUCUUUUCCAUCACUAUUUUAAAACUAAUAGAAUUAUAGUCACUGUCCACAAAGUGCUCCCCUACUGGCACCUGAGUCACCUGUCCUGCUUUAUUUCCCAAGAGUACGUCAAGUUUUUCACCUUCUCUAGUAGGUACAUCCACAUAUUAAAUCAGAAAGUUUUCUUGUGCACACUUUACAAAUUCCUCUCCAUCUGAGCCCUUACACCAUGGCAGUCCUAGUCUAUGUUUGGAUAGUUAAAAUCCCCUACUAUAACCACCCUGUUAUUCUUACAGAUAACUGAGAUCUCCUUACAAAUUUGAUUCUCAAUUUUCCACUGAUUUUUGGGGGGGUAUAUAGUACAAUCCUAAUAAGGUGAUCAUCCCUUUCUUAUUUCUCAAUUCCACCCAAAUAACUUCCCUGGACAUAUUCACAGGAAUAUCCUCCCUAAAUACAUCCAUAAUGUUAUCCCGAGUGAAAAACGCCACUCACCCUCCUCUUUCACUCUCCUUUCGAUCCUUCCUAUUGCAUCUAUACCCUGGAACAUUAAGCUGCUAGUUCUGUCCAUCCCUGAGCCACAUCUCUGUAAUUGCUAUGAUAUCCCAGUCCUAUGUUCCUAACCGUGCCCUGAGUUCAUCUGCCUUACCCGUUAGGCCUCUUGCAUUGAAAUAAAUGCAGUUUAAUUUAUCAGUCCUACCUUGUUCUCUACUUUAUUCCUGCCUGCCCUGUCUAUUUGACUUACUCCUUUAACCAACUGCACCAGUCUCAGACUGAUCUCUUUCCUCACUAUCUCCCUGGGUCCCACCUACUCCCCCCUUACUAGUUUAAAUCCUCUCCAGCAGAUCUAGCAAAUCUCCCCACCAGUAUAUUAGUCUCCUUCCUAUUCAGGUGCAAUCAGCCCUUCUUAAAUAAGUCACUUCUACCCAGAAGACAUUCCAAUAAUCCAAAAAUGUGAAUCCUUCUCCCCUGCACCAGAUCCUCAGCUGCGCAUUCAUCUGCUCUAUCCUCCUAUUCCUACCCUCACCAGCUCAUGGCACUGGGAGUGAUCCAGAUAUUACUACCAUGGAGGACCUACAUUUUAAAUUCCUGCUUAACUUCCUAUAUUUUCUCCUCAGAAUCUUGUUUUCUCUUCCUGUGUCAUUUGUUCCAAUGUGUACAACGAUGCCCAUUUUGGUCCCUCUCCCCUUUGAGAAUCCUGUCUAAGAUACCUUUGAUCCUGGCUCCUGGGAAGCCAAAUGGGACUACGCUUAUUUAAGAUAUCUGGCCAGCAUGGACAAGUUGGACUGAAGGGUCUGCUUCGGUGCUGUAUAUCUCUAUGAUUCUAUGACAUGGUGAAUUUUACAUUCAGAAAAACUUAAAAUGUGUUCAUGAUAA